rnacentral:rRNA from 1 species
AGUGAACGCUGGCGGUAGGCCUAACACAUGCAAGUCGAACGGCAGCACAGUAAGAGCUUGCUCUUACGGGUGGCGAGUGGCGGACGGGUGAGGAAUACAUCGGAAUCUACUUUUUCGUGGGGGAUAACGUAGGGAAACUUACGCUAAUACCGCAUACGACCUACGGGUGAAAGUAGGGGAUCUUCGGACCUUGCGCGAUUGAAUGAGCCGAUGUCGGAUUAGCUAGUUGGCGGGGUAAAGGCCCACCAAGGCGACGAUCCGUAGCUGGUCUGAGAGGAUGAUCAGCCACACUGGAACUGAGACACGGUCCAGACUCCUACGGGAGGCAGCAGUGGGGAAUAUUGGACAAUGGGCGCAAGCCUGAUCCAGCCAUACCGCGUGGGUGGAGAAGGCCUUCGGGUUGUAAAGCCCUUUUGUUGGGAAAGAAAAGCAGCAGGUUAAUACCCCGCUGUUCUGACGGUACCCAAAGAAUAAGCACCGGCUAACUUCGUG